rnacentral:rRNA from 1 species
UACGAAGGGUGCAAACGUUGCUCGGAAUUACUGGGCGUAAAGCGCACGUAGGCGGCUUUCUAAGUCGGGGGUGAAAUCCUGGAGCUCAACUCCAGAACUGCCUUCGAUACUGGAGAGCUCGAGUCCGGGAGAGGUGAGUGGAACUGCGAGUGUAGAGGUGAAAUUCGUAGAUAUUCGCAAGAACACCAGCGGCGAAGGCGGCACUCUGGGCUGGAACUGACGCUGAGGAGCGAAAGCGUGGGUAGCAAACAGG